rnacentral:tRNA from 1 species
GGUUGUGGCGGUAGAGCACUCGCCUGGCAUGCGCGAGGCCCUGGGUUCGAUCCUCAGUACCA